ACAAAGUGAACAUUCACAAUGACGAAAGGAUACUUAGGAGAUCCUCAGUGCUCUCCCAAGGGUGGUACGAUCCCCAACAGGGUAAGAUUUUUGUCCAUAUUCCUGGCAUGACUGUAUCUCCUCCCUCCGGAACCCCUUGUGGUUUAUCCUACCAAGUGGAUUGCUUGUUGAGAGUCACCUCUCUUCCCUUCAGCAGAGUAGCGAUCUUUCUUCCUCAGCAGCUUGGAUCUUUUUGGGCAAGAGCGGUAUUUG
rnacentral:lncRNA from 1 species